CCCAGACUCCUACGGGAGGCAGCAGUGGGGGAUAUUGCACAAUGGGGGGAACCCUGAUGCAGCGACGCCGCGUGGGUGAAGGAGCGUUUCGGCGCGUAAAGCCCUAUCGGCAGGGAAGAAGGAGGACGGUACCUGACUAAGAAGCCCCGGCUAACUACGUGCCAGCAGCCGCGGUAAUACGUAGGGGGCAAGCGUUAUCCGGAUUUACUGGGUGUAAAGGGGGCGCAGACGGCAGCGCAAGCCAGGAGUGAAAGCCCGGGGCUCAACCCCGGGACUGCUCUUGGAACUGCGCGGCUGGAGUGCAGGAGGGGCAGGCGGAAUUCCUGGUGUAGCGGUGAAAUGCGUAGAUAUACGGAGGAACACCAGUGGCGAAGGCGGCCUGCUGGACAUUAACUGACGCUGAGGCGCGAAAGCGUGGGGAGCAAACAGGAUUAGAUACCCCGGUA
rnacentral:rRNA from 1 species